rnacentral:tRNA from 2 species
GGGCCCGUAGCUCAGCCAGGAUAGAGCACCGGCCUUCGGAGCCGGGGGUCGGGGGUUCAAAUCCCCCCGGGCCCG